rnacentral:lncRNA from 1 species
UCCGUACAGAUUGAUUAAGAUAAAUCAUUCUAGUCUCUUCCGCUAUCUGCUUGUUUUAUACAUCUCCGUGUGUGUUGAAAAUCUAUAUGACCUAAGAGAGUUCUGGGAAGAUAAAUGGUUAUGCUGUAAAGAGAGCAUUUUGAAAUAGUAGAAGGUUUGUUGCUAAGUGGUUUAAAUUGUUUAUGAACGCGGUGCAGCAAUAUAAAUGCUCUAACAAAUUGCCAAACCUGCAAUCUGAUUGUGAGUUAUUUUAAGGCGUGGUGCAAAUUCUUGUACUCAUGAUAUCAGCUUAUUAUCUUAGCAUUUUAGACAUCUCAGAUAUAAAGACUUCCAGGAUUUACAUUUGUAGUGAAGUAACGAUUUCUCUGCUUGUGUUGUAGUUCCUGAGCCACAGCUGGAUCAGUAUGUUAUCUGCAGAAGCAAGAGAUUUUUAGGAGCUUUUCAGCUUGAUGACAGGCAAAUUUCCUUACUUUAUUGUAGUUUUUAUUUGGAAUCCUGUCUUCUAUGUUUGUAAUUGUCUUUCUUUGAUGACAGUGGGGAAGAACCAGUGAACAUUGAAGCCAAUGAUUUAUAUGCUCUGCCUUACAAGUCCAUAAAGCCACUUGUGGAGAGUGGGCAGAUCGAUCUGGUAUGAGAGUAUAGGAAACAGUACCCCCUUUGUUUUCUGCUGAU